GACGAACGCUGGCGGCGUGCUUAACACAUGCAAGUCGAACGGAAAGGCCCUGCUUUUGUGGGGUGCUCGAGUGGCGAACGGGUGAGUAACACGGGAGUAACCUGCGCUUGAGUGUGGGAUAACUUCAGGAAACUGGGGAUAAUACCGGAUAGGAGCUCCUGCUGCAUGGUGGGGGUUGGAAAGUUUCGGCGGUUGGGGAUGGACUCGCGGCUUAUCAGCUUGUUGGUUGGGUAGUGGCUUACCAAGGCUUUGACGGGUAGCCGGCCUGAGAGGGUGACCGGCCCCCAUGGUACUGCGAUACGGCCCAGACUCCUACGGGAGGCAGCAGUGGGGAAUAUUGCACAACGGGGCGAAGCCUGAUGCAGCAACGCCGCGUGCGGGAUGACGGCCUGCGGGUUGUAAACCGCUUUCGCCUGUGACGAAGCGUGAGUGACGGUAAUGGGUAAAGAAGCACCGGCUAACUACGUG
rnacentral:rRNA from 1 species